UGGGGAAUAUUGCACAAUGGGCGAAAGCCUGAUGCAGCAACGCCGCGUGAGUGAUGAAGGCCUUCGGGUUGUAAAGCUCUGUCUUUUGGGACGAUAAUGACGGUACCAAAGGAGGAAGCCACGGCUAACUACGUGCCAGCAGCCGCGGUAAUACGUAGGUGGCAAGCGUUGUCCGGAUUUACUGGGCGUAAAGGAUGCGUAGGCGGAUUUUUAAGUGAGAUGUGAAAACCCUAAGCUUAACUUGGGGACUGCAUUUCAUACUGGAAAUCUAGAGUGCGGGAGAGGAGAAUGGAAUUCCUAGUGUAGCGGUGAAAUGCGUAGAGAUUAGGAAGAACACCAGUGGCGAAGGCGAUUCUCUGGACCGUAACUGACGCUGAGGCAUGAAAAGCGUGGGUAGCAAACAGGAUUAGAUACCCUGGUAGUCCACGCCGUAAACGAUGAGUACUAGGUGUAGGAGGUAUUGACCCCUUCUGUGCCGCAGUUAACACAAUAAGUACUCCGCCUGGGAAGUACGAUCGCAAGAUUAAAACUUAAAUGAAUUGACGGGGUCAUAGCUGUUUCCU
rnacentral:rRNA from 1 species